CGCAAGCCUGACGGAGCAAUACCGCGUGAGGGAGGAAGGCUCUUGGGUCGUAAACCUCUUUUCUCAGGGAAGAACACAAUGACGGUACCUGAGGAAUCAGCAUCGGCUAACUCCGUGCCAGCAGCCGCGGUAAUACGGAGGAUGCAAGCGUUAUCCGGAAUGAUUGGGCGUAAAGCGUCCGCAGGUGGCAGUGUAAGUCUGCUGUCAAAGGUCAGGGCUCAACCCUGAACAGGCAGUGGAAACUACACAGCUAGAGUGCGGUGGGGGCAGAGGGAAUUCCCAGUGUAGCGGUGAAAUGCGUAGAGAUUGGGAAGAACACCGGUGGCGAAAGCGCUCUGCUAGGCCGUAACUGACACUCAUGGACGAAAGCUAGGGGAGCG
rnacentral:rRNA from 1 species